UUAUUCUUUGGCUUUAGAGCAGCUGCAAUUUUGUCUCUCAAAAUCGGCCCCCCAAAAUAAUUAUUUCUUCCUCAUUCUCCAAGUCCCUUAAAAAACCCCCAAAACCCUAAAACCUAAAAGGAAGGUUAGAAUCGGAAGCGUUUUUCGUUAGAUUUGGAGGAAUAGAAGAGAAGAGUAGAAGGGGGGAAUGGAUUCAGAUCAGGGGAAGCUGUUUAUUGGAGGGAUAUCAUGGGAAACAAGUGAGGAUAGGCUAAAGGAAUACUUUGGUCAGUACGGCGACAUCUUGCAGACUGUUGUUAUGAGAGAUAAGGUUACGGGGAGACCUCGUGGCUUUGGAUUCGUUGUCUUCUCAGAUCCGUCCGUUCUCGAUACCGUUCUUCAAGAAAAGCACACCAUUGAUGGUAGAACGGUUGAGGCAAAGAGGGCGUUAUCUAGAGAGGAGCAGCAAACGUCUGCUAGAUCUGGUAAUUUUAAUCAGGGUAGAAAUUCCGGAGGUGGUGGAAAUAUCAGGACCAAGAAGAUUUUUGUUGGAGGAUUGCCUCCGACCUUAACUGAAGACGGGUUUCGCCAAUACUUUGAGGCAUAUGGUCAUGUAACUGAUGUAGUAAUCAUGUAUGACCAGAAUACUCAGCGGCCUCGGGGGUUUGGUUUUAUCUCCUUCGACACUGAAGAUGCAGUUGACAGGGUUUUGCACAAGAGUUUUCAUGAUUUGAAUGGCAAGCAAGUUGAAGUGAAGCGGGCCCUUCCUAAAGAUGCCAACCCCGGUGGGGCUAGCCGUACUAUGAGUGGUGGUGCCAGUGGUUUUGGAGGUUACCAGGGUUAUGGUUCUUCUGGUGGGAAUUCAAGUUCUUAUGAUGGUCGAAUGGACUCCAGUAGUUACAUGCGCGCCCAGGGUACUGGAGCUGGCUUUCCAACUUAUGGCUCAUCAGGAUAUGCACCUGGUUACGGUUAUGGUCCUGCUAAUAAUGGUGUUGGCUAUGGUAGUUAUGGAAAUUAUGGUGGUGCAGGUGCUGGUUAUGGUGCUCCUGCAGGUGCAGCUUAUGGGAACCCUAAUGCUGGUUAUGCAAGUGGGCCUCCUGGUGCCCCUAGAAGUUCAUGGGGCACUCAAGCUCCAUCUGGUUAUGGUGCUAUGGGUUAUGGGAAUGCUGCUCCUUGGGGUGCUGGUGCUGGUAGUGGUGGCCCAGGUUCUGCAGCUACUGGCCAGUCUCCCACUGGAGCUACUGGGUAUGGGGGUCAAGGUUAUGGAUAUGGUGGAUAUGGCGGUAAUGAUGGAUCUUAUGGGAAUGCUGGCUAUGGGGCUGCUGGAGGUCGUUCUGGUGGUACUCCAAAUAGUAAUGCUGUUGCAGGUGGGGAAGAUCUACAAGGGAGUGGUGGUGGUUACAUGGUAAGUGGGUAUGGUGAUGUAAAUGGAAGUUCAGGGUAUGGAAAUGCAACAUGGAGGUCUGAUUCAUCCCAAGGUUCUGGAAAUUAUGGGGGUGCUCAGGCAAAUGGUCCUCAUGGUGGACAAGGUGGUUAUGGUGGUGGGUAUGGCGGUGCACAGGGCCGACAAGCUCAGCAACAGUGAUUCUAUCACAAGAAAGACAACUUGAUCUCAAACUCUUCUGCGCAUGACCUUCUCUUUGCUCUUGUAAUUGUGAUGGUUUCUUACGCGAGCAGCAACAGGAGAGGUUCAAGUUGGAUGAUAAAUCACCUUGGGACCGGCGGAGAGAUGCUCGAGAGUUCAAAGGUGGAGUCAAGUGUCCACUCAUGGCUGAACCCGAGCUUUUUGGUGGGGUUUGUUCAGUGUGGGGUUUGUUCGGCAGAGGACUUGCUCAGUUGAAAAUUUGAAUUAACAUGAGAUGAGAGGGGCCCUUCCCCACCCGGGUGCUGUCCCAACACUACAAAUUCUUGGCUUUUGAAGUCAAAAGGUUUCCUCAUCUUCAUCCUGGUUUCUGUGGGGUUUUUAUUCAAGAUGGAGUUGGAUUAGUGAUGCAAACUGCUUGGGGUAUGUUGAUUCAAAAGCUGUUAGCUUUCUGGCAGAUCAAGAUUACAUAAUUAUUGAUUGUGCCUUUUGAUUCUUUGGAGUAAAUUUUAUAGUAUGAUAAUUGAUUAUUAGAGCUCUAGAAAAGUAUGUCUUUAAAGUUCCCAUUAGUUUUGGACUGAAUUAAUUGAGUUUUGCCAAACAUUUAGUGCAGGGGCCUUUCUUUCCAUUUACAAACAGUAGGUUAAAUUCUGUUGGUAACCUUGUAUUAUUCAUAAUUGUUCAUUGUUCCCCACUAAUGUACAUUUUAGGUAAUAAACUAAUAAUACAGUGGAAAUGGGAGAGGAGGCUUUUAGUAGUUUUUGA